GAUAGGCUGGGGAGCUUCAGAAGAGAAGAGACACAGACGUACACAGGCAUGGGGAAAGAGCUGAGGCAGUGGUGUGUGGAUGUGUGUGUGGAUGUGGUGGGGGCAGACAUGCUUUCCCAGGCAGAGAAGACAAAUGCAGAAUGAUAGGUUGGAGGAGCCUCAUAGGACCUGAUUUACUUCCACAAAAGGACACGGAAAUCGUCACGGAUACGAGGGAUGUGAGCGUGGACCCGACGGAUCUCCCGAUCGUCCGCAAGCCUGCGGUCAGACUAGCGAACAGACGAUGGCUCGUUUUCGGCGUGCUCUGUUCCGGGGAUAACGACGAGCAACGAAGCGACAGUGCAACAUAUGACGUGAGGUGAGAAUUUCUCGACUGUACGCAAAUGAGGCAUGACGUGGUAAAGCAGCGGAUCCAAAUAAACGGCUCGAAAGGUUCCUCAGACUUCGGCGUCUAUCAUAUGGCGUGCGUGGUACAACAUCUUUUUGCACCCCACCACCCACUUUAC
ensembl:lncRNA